AUUGAACGCUGGCGGCAUGCCUUACACAUGCAAGUCGAACGGUAACAGGUCUUCGGAUGCUGACGAGUGGCGAACGGGUGAGUAAUACAUCGGAACGUGCCCGAUCGUGGGGGAUAACGAAGCGAAAGCUUUGCUAAUACCGCAUAAGAUCUACGGAUGAAAGCAGGGGACCGCAAGGCCUUGCGCGAACGGAGCGGCCGAUGGCAGAUUAGGUAGUUGGUGAGAUAAAAGCUUACCAAGCCGACGAUCUGUAGCUGGUCUGAGAGGACGACCAGCCACACUGGGACUGAGACACGGCCCAGACUCCUACGGGAGGCAGCAGUGGGGAAUUUUGGACAAUGGGCGAAAGCCUGAUCCAGCCAUGCCGCGUGCAGGAUGAAGGCCUUCGGGUUGUAAACUGCUUUUGUACGGAACGAAAAGACUCUGGUUAAUACCUGGGGUCCAUGACGGUACCGUAAGAAUAAGCACCGGCUAACUACGUGCCAGCAGCCGCAGUAA
rnacentral:rRNA from 1 species